rnacentral:lncRNA from 1 species
UUUUCUUUUAGCAUGGACAUAUGGACUUGUAGGUUAUGCAAAGCAAUAGUCUAUAAUUUGACAUGAAGAUUUCAAUACUCAAGGACAUCAACAAGCAACUAAGUCUUUCAAAAUAUCAACACUAAAGAACGUUAUCCCUGGCCCAUCGUGCUUUAUCAUUGACCCAUUCAUGCAACACACCCAAAUAUUAACUACAUACAAUGCUCAAGUGUGAUAAUGGUGUUCCUUAGUUUGUUCUUUAUAAGAGAAGAUGGAAACGCUUGUAAAAAAAGAUGGAAACUCAAAAAUAAAUAAAAAAUGCAUAAAAUAAAUAGAUAGGCCCUUCUGAGAGGGAAUCACAGAUUUGUAGAGGUGCC